AUGUGUAGUGUAAGAGGGUCUCCCAUGGAUCGUUUACUGCUAAUAUUUGGAAAAUUUAUGCUCUCUUCUUUGUUCUUGUUCUUUCGACAUCAAAGAGUGCUUUUAUGAUGGGAUUGUCUCUUGAAAUUCCUGACGGUUGUGGUGACAAUACAGUUCUUCAAGAAAAAUCUUUAUACUCUCACUCCUCCUACAUGAAAUCUAAAGCCUUUGGACCGGAACGAAGUCAAACCGAAAUGAAAAUCAGAAUUUUUUGCAUGAACAUGGGACCGGCACGAAAUCACGAAAAAUCUUCAUUCGCGUAAUGCCUCCUUUGCAGAUUUUUGAAGACGGGGGAAACAAGAAGUUUGGAAGUAAUAAUGCUUGAUUAAGCAAUAAAAUCAUACAGCAACAACCUGUUAACUCAAGUGAGGAAAAUUCGAACCACGUUAUGAUAGUGCUAAAAUAUUGUAGAAACCUUUGCCAGUUCUUUCUCUCUAAAGAUUACAAAAAUGAGCUUCAGAUCAGGGAUGGAUUAAUUGGAAGGGGAGAGGAAUAGGUUUACUGGGGGGGAGGGUAAAGGGGGUUGGUGUAACCUUGGUUACAGGGUCACAUGAUAACAAAACAAUUAAAUAAUAUAAGCUCAUCAUUAAUUUCAAAAUAUUUGUCCAUGUAAAUUUUGCAAAUUA